GGCUACGUAGCUCAGCUGGUUAGAGCACAGCACUCAUAAUGCUGGGGUCGCAAGUUCGAAUCUCGCCGUAGCCACCA
rnacentral:tRNA from 46 species